CCUCUCUUCCUGCUUUCUUGACCCUCUCCGCCAUUUAAAGAAACAGUACCGGGGGCGGGCCGAGCGACGCAGCCGGGACGGCAGCUGCGGCGCGGACCGGAGGAGCCAUCUUGUCUCGUCGCCGGGGAGUCAGGCCCCUAACUCGAAGAAGCCCUGGCGCGCCCUCCCCCCCUCCCCGGUCUGGUAGGGCGAAGGAGCGGGCGCGCGGUCGAUCGAGCGAUCGGUUGGCGGCUCUUUCUCCUGCUCUGGCAUCCAGCUCUUGGGGCGCAGGCCCGGCCGCCACGGCGCGCGCCCGGUGGCCGUUGGCGUUCGCGCCGCGUCUUUCUUCUCGUACGCAGAACUCGGGCGGCGGCCUAUGCGUUUGCUAUCCGACGAGGAGUCGUCCGGGUGGUCGGCGGCGGCGGGCAGUUGCUCCGCCCCGCUCCUGGGGAGGCGGCGGCGGCGGCGGCGGCGGCGGCGGGAUUUGGCACGGCCGGGGAAGCUGGGGUGGCCGGGGCCGGCCUGGAGGCCUGGCACCACCCUUCGGGGCCUGCAAGGACCCAAUUGGGGGGACAGGAGGGAGCCGGGGGAUGGUUGGUGGUGGGCUUUCUACUUUGUCUUUUCCUCCUUAUGCCGCCUUAGUGAGGGGCGGGAGCGCUGGAGGCCGCUCCGGGGUGGAGAGACAAGCUCCGGAGUCGGAAGAGCUGGGUUUGCUUCCGGGCCUAACCACCAGCUGGCCGAGUGACCUUAGGCAAGUCACUCUGUAAUUUAUCUGCGCCUCAGUUUCCUCCUUCUCCAUCAAUGUUUGUGGGAUUGAAAGCGCUUUGUAAACUGUAAAGCGUCGCUGUAUGUAAGGGAUGAUUAUUGUUCGUAAUGGCUUGGUUUUUUGUUUUUUGGUUUUUUUUUUUUGGAGUUGUAAGAAAACUUAGAAAUUGCCCAAUCCUUGGAUUUUGAACCUGGAAACCUUGGAUUGGAGGUGGAGAUCCCCAAACUCCUUGAAAUUGUAUGCAGAAAUUAGGGGGAAUGUGCAUUUUAGAGAAUGAGAAGCCAUCGCCAGCAAGUUUUCAUUGGGGGCUGUGACCCAGAAGAAUUAAGAACCACAUUUCCUUUGUCACAAGGAGGAAACUGAGGCCAGAUGUCAUUUGGGACCCUUCACAACCAAUUCGAAGCCCCUGUUUGAAUCCCUGAGAUAUGUGAGCUGUUCUGUGCAUAGUGGAUAUUCGUGGUAACAACACUCCACUUCUUGGCUUCUAUUUUGAGUUCUUUCACCAUGGGUUGCCUAAAGGGUGACUGAUGCUUAAAGGUACAGUGGCACCCAGCAUAAAGCAGCUAAAACUGGGCAUGGAUAUGUUCUCUAGUAUCAAGAAGCUUAUUUAAUCUUUGGCCCAACAACUUUUUUUUUUCUGGUGCCUGACUACCUUUCUGACUCUUCAUUGACCAUUUUCUAUGACCAUGGUUGCCAUCCGUUACUUUCCCCUAUUUUAUAUUCCUAGUCUGUGUGGUUGGUAGUGAGCAGGCUUAUUUUUAAAUGGUGCUGCCAAGUCCAACUAAUUAAUGGUGCAGGUGGAUUUUUAGCAAGCUGGCUCACUAGAACAGACUGAACCAGGCAUGGAAUUCUUGAAAAUGUUUGGGGGGUUGAGUCUUUAUUAAUUGAAGGUUAACGUUUUCUGAGAAGUUUUGUUAGAAUUUUCUGCUGAACCUCAAAAUCAGAUUGAAAGUGUUUCAACCUUAAAUUUUUUCUGGUCUGCUUUGUAUUCUAUUUGCUUGCAAGUGUGUUACUAAGAUGGCCAAAAUGCCAGUUUUUGCUUCUUUGUUAAUUGUCAGCUGCUUUUAUCAAAUAUCAGGCAGUUAUCCAGCAAACACUAUAGAAAUGUUUGAACAGUUGGCUUUCAAACAUUUUCAUUUUGUGGAGUGGUGCUUACCAUUGGUACAGCUCUAAGCAAGCAAACGCAAACACUUUUAAGUGUAUUUUGUCUGUUAGGUGUUAGCCGGUUCUGCUAUUUCAUACAAAUGUCUGGAAAUCAAUUGACUAUUCCCUUUACCUAGAGGGCAGAGACAAAUGAUCUCAAUUCCAGAGAAAUGACUGUUUUGGAGAAAACUGUGUUGGUCUUUUAGCUCUUUUGUAAUUAAAUCUGGAUGUACCUCAAAAGAAUCUUAAGACUGGUGAUAAAAUGCUUUCCUCAGGAGAAAGGAGGAAAAAAACCAACUGGAACUCAAAGCUUGAAAUUCUUUGACAAACAUAAGAUAUCCAGGAUGGGAAGUUGAAAGGGUUUCACUACAUAGCGUUCUGCACUAGCUGGAGCAGAUGUCUUUCAGUGUGGUUAUGGCGUGGACUUCAGAUUUUCAAGAACUGGAUCUGGGACCUGGAAGAAUUAUCAAGAUGUGACACGAAGUUGGGAGCUGGAUUUUUUUAUUUUUGAAUUUAUGGACUCUUGUCCUUGCUUUGAGAAAAGACAAUGACUGAGCAAGCACUGCCACCAGCGCUGUUACUGGGAAUUCGGAGACCUGAGUUUUUGCCAGAUCCUCGGUGCAAACUCUGGCGACGCUCCAUCCAAAGUGAAAAACGUCUUGUGCCUCCUGGUUGCCGAGUAUUCACCUGGACCUUCUAACCACCUUCCUUGAGCUAUUCCAUCAGCCUUCAUAUCUGUACCUGGAAUUUUGCCCAUGGUGAUUCCUGCCACCUUACUACUGAAGAAGACAACCAUGCCAGUGAACCACUGUGACUCGAGGCAUCCAGCAAAUUUGAAUCAUCAUCAUGUGGCCUUCACCUCCACUCCUGUCCUGUUCUACCCAGAUUCAACACAGCCCUUUGUAGUGAAGUCAAACUCCUCAAGCCAAAUAGCUGAAGCUGUUUUAUCACAAUUAAGGCUCAGUUUGUUCCAUGAGUGUGCUUUCGUUUCUUCAGUUAAAGCCUUCAGAGACACAUAAUAAAUUUGGACCAGGGGAUUUUAGUUAUCAACACUGUCUGAAGAAUGGCACCAUCUUUUUGAGAACCACAUUGAACCCCGCCCCAAAAUCUCAAAUGAUUGAAGUUCAUGAAGUAUCUAAGAUCCCAUCCAAGUCACUGAACUCUGUUUUUCCAUUUCAAAUCUGUAGUAUCCUACUGAAUAAGCAAGCAGAUAUUCUGACCGUUUGGGAUUAAAACAAAGGCACAGUGAACUCAGAGCAUCCUUGGGAUUACUCAGGAACCAGAACUUUUCACACAAAUGUAAGAAAUUCUACCAAGAUAUCCCUUUACCUAACAGCAUCUCACAAAGCUCCAAUCAGAUUCCAGAAAAGGCCUCUUGAUACAUCCAGGUAGAACCUAUAUGGUAAUCCCUUAUGUUUAUAUAGCACUUUACAGUUUCAAAAGCACUUUUACAUGCAUUAAUCUCAAUUAUCAAAUAACACAGUUAUAAUCCUGUUUUGCAAAUGAGGAAAUGGAAAUUUAAAAGGUUGUCCAAGGUUAAACAGAUACAAAAUAGUAGAAGCCAGGCCUUCUGACUCCCAGUCCAGUUCUCUCCUUGGAAUUAACUUAGCCUCUAUUUUACCCACAGUGUUAAAAUAAAUGGAGAUUGAGAACCUCAGAAAAGUUUCCAACUUCCUGAUCUGGUACCCCCAGUCAGUCAGGAUAAUCUUGUGCUGGCUGUAGCUAGACCAGAAUUCUAUGGCAACAUCUCUGAAGUUUAGCAAUAGACUGUCUCCAUGAUGGUAGAUUGUCCAGUCAGUAAGGCAAAUGUUCAUCUGACAAUAAGAUUACCCAGCAUGAAAUAAAGCAACUUUUAAAUCUUUCUUCAUCUUCAUAGUCUUCCCAAAAAUGGCCUAAUUAAUUGGGGAUCCCUAUUCAUAUCAUGUCUUUUUUUUUUUUUUAAGUCUUAUUAAUAUUCCUGACAGCAAGGUCUUACCUAUGAUCCGCUAUCCCCAAACUAUUAUUUACAUAAUAUGAGCCAUCAAUUUUUUUAGAACAGUACUGUUCAUAUAUAUAUGUGUGUGUGUAUUUAUGUAUAUAUUUGAUAUACACAUAUAAUAUAUAUCAUAGAGCUUCUGUAGUCCAAUAGGUGGUAAAAUGUGUACCCUUCCCUGAUACAUAAUGCAGUGUAGUGUAUUAAAGGAUUUCAGAAGGUUUGCAGUAAAGAGCCUCAUUUAGCUGUUUAGUCCAGUUGUCCCAAGUUUAAUGAAACACAGAAUGUUACUUUUGCAGCAUUGUUUUUAAUGGAAUGGGAAAACUGCUUUGGAGCAGUAAAACCAGUGCUUGCUGAUUGGCAGCAAAUUGCCCUGGAGACCCAGAAAUAAACAGCAUCUUUGAACCCACCCUUUUUCUUACCUUGUCAGUAACUUCUUGAAUUAGUGUGUCUCCAUCAUCUGAGAGCCCCACAUCUUGACAGUUGUGUUCAUUUUCUAUCAAAGGAACCUCUAGGAGGUUUGUGUCGAUGCAUGGGAAGGGAAUGGGGGGAGUUAAUUCUGCCACGAAAUUAUAUGAAUUCCAUGGCUUUUAGCAGUAUACAUCUCUGUCUCCAGAAUUGUGUUAUAAACCUAGUUCAAGGGCAUUGCAUCUCAGGUGGGUGAGGAGACUGGGAAGGGAGGAGGAAAAGGAUAGAGAAAAGGGGAAGAAGGGGUGAAAAGAUAUUGCUUAGGAUUUGAGUUUUGGCCCACUGAGAUCUUACUAGUCUUUGAAGAGAAGUCAUCCAGCUCAGGACUUCUUGGAAUAAUAUUUACAAAGAAAUGAAUGCAUUUUGCAGCUAUAUGCUGACUGCAAAAACCCCAGUAUUAUUGUCACUUAAAACCAAUAGCCUCACUUACAAGCCCAGUUUCAGGCAAUCCGAAUUUGUAGCAGACUUGAAUGUUAACUUCAUCAUUCUAUAAUGUGGCGUACGUUAGGGGAAGAAUAAAUAGGAAAACACUUUCUAGGCUUACCACUUGGCUUUGCUUAUACAGUUUCUGGUUUCUGUGACCUAUUUUUUGUAUUUCAGCAUUUUGUGAACAGCUUAUUCUUAGAUCAUUGGUUUUCCAAAGGCUUUGUGGCCAUGAAGCCCUUUGAAUGAAUGCUAUACGGAAGACCAGAGUUAAAGUGAAGCUGCUCUGGAAGAAGCAGAAGUGGGGGGCCUGAAACCUGCCACAAGCAUCUUACUUUACCACCAUGGUGACACCUCAGGAGACUUCUUUACAGCACCUAGAAUUCUUCAGAACACAGUUUGAAAACCACUGCCCUAGACGACAUUGUGUUCAACUUGAAAGGCAUUCUGUUCUGUACCUCUACCCAACACCAUCCAUGUUCAGUUGAUGUUCAACAUCAUUAAGAAUACUUAACUGUGGGUAAACUCAGAAAAGUACAAGAAGAUGGGCAUAUCUUUGCCCAUCUGCCCUUUGCCCCUAGAUGGACUUCCAGUGAUUCCUAGAAUUGGAUAUAGCUAGAGAGCAAUUCAUACAUACUCUACACUGAUAAACCCCUUUACCCAGUUUCUUUUUAUAAACACCAGAUACUCUAGUGGUACUUGAAAUACAUGACCUCGAAGUCUUAAUCCUCCUUGGAUACAUGAAUGACGUGGUAUUGAAGUUGAUGCCUCAUUGAGGUCAUAUUCAACCAACUAUACAUUGGACCUCCUGUCAUCAGCCAUGGUACUCUACUUUGUGUGCAAGGGAUAACCAUUAACUGUGAAAGUAGAAUUCAAAUAUUGGCAAUGUUACCUAAAAGGGUACAUGGUUUUAUUCACCUUCUCAAACUAUAAGUUACUGUCACUCAACCAGUGGCAGUUACACUGCUCCUUGGUUUUUAAUUCAGUUUGAUUGCUGUUUCCAGGAUUUAAUGAGCUAAUAAUCCUUAAGAAAAAUUGCUAAAACAAUUCCUCCAUCACUGGCAUAUCUGCCUAUUCUGCUCUAAAAUUACAAUACUCAGCUCAACUACAUGUAACACCUGAUCCACAGGAGACAAUAUCUGAACAUACUUUCUUGUGAUUUAAAAUGUGGCCAUUUGCAAAACUUUCUUCCAAACAACGGGAGAUUUUAAGAUGGGUCUUUUAAUGUUUCUUCCAAACAACUGUAGAUGUUAAGGAUAUUUGGAGGUAGGCCUUUUGACCAGGCCACAGUAGCUUACUCGGAGGGCAUGUCAGAUUGCAUGUCAUCUACCUUUUUGCUGGAAAUGUAGACCAACUUGAAAGAAAAUCUGCAAAGCCUGUGGCUACAGAUUUUAUGAGUAGACUCAAGAGCUUCCUGAUGCUUCUUAAUGUCACAAGACCACAGUCCCUUAUCCUUAUGGAUAUUUCCAUGGAAUUUCAUCUGUCUCAAUACUGUUUUACACUGAAUCAGAGUGGCUGACUUCAUUCCUCGUCUUGAGAUACUCUUGGGCAUUAAGACAACCCAUAUGUCUCUGCAGGAGGGAUUCAAUUAAUGAACUCCCAGACCAGAUCAUGUAGAACAAGUAGACUUCACUUUGUGUCAUGAGAAAAAAAAAAAUCUCAUUUCUUUACUUCAGAGUCAACUUAAGGGCCAGCUGUCCUCAACUACUUUAAUGAAUGCACUGGUUAAAUGUUGGGAAUGGUUUCUUUAUAUCUUUGUCUCAUCCUCUGUACUAACUGACUCAGUCUUCAAAUCAUCAAACAGGGCCUAAGUCUGAUUACUCUGUACUGCUCAACCCUCAACAAAUUAAAAUCUGAUGACCAGCCUGCUUGUAUAUGCAACUAUUAUUUGUAAAGAAGAAGCUUAUCUGCAGACUCAUUGUUUUCUACCUUGAAAAUGUCAGCUUGACUUUCCUUUUCUCCUGUACUUGACAGAAAAAGACAUUGAUCUACACUGCAAGUCAUUCCUUUCAAUCCUGUCAAAAUGAGGGACCUAAAAUGAAAAUGAUCAUCUAUUCAAGAGUCUGAUGUACACUGUGUAUAGGAAUUGAUGAUUCAAAAAGCCUAAAACUCAAACCUUUUAUCUUCAUGCCUCAAAUCUCAUCUAAAUCUUUUAGCAGUACCAUUCAACCAGUCUGAGGCCUUGAUGUCCUUGUAAGACGAUUCUCAAGAGAUGUGCUGAGUUCCAGAAGAUGGAGACUUGAUUACCAAAGAAAGUAGGGCCAACCUUGAUGAACCUGGCUCUCCCAACCCUGUCACUCCCAGAUGUAGCAUAGACUCCUAAACAGAACCCUCAAGUCUGUAUCGAGGAUAUAACCCUCUGAGCUGAAAGAUCUUGGGCAGAUGAGCAGGAAAAUGAAAGUUGCUGUACCUGACUGGCCCAGUAUGAUCAGAAAAUUGUAUCCAGAGUAAACCCUAUGGAUUAAUAACCCUGGAGUACUCAGGGUAAAAACUAAUUUACAGAGCUUUGAUAUUAAACUGCCUGUUCUUCCAGAUCAUAGCCUGGCUAUUGAUAUGGCUGGCCCUGCUUGCCUCUUUACCUAACUCAGCCCUUGCCUGCCUUUUUGACUGCAGUCCAACUGGCUGUGCUUGAUAAAACUACAGCUGAUCUCAACCUAUCUUAUACCCAGUUCCACCAAGGAGUUUUGAACAGAAGCACCCUGCACCCCACCAUGACUUAGUGUUCACUGCAGGAAGGAGCAUGCUUUUUUUUUUUUUUUUUUUAAUUUUAUCUUUUUUAAUACUUGGGACCCUUUCUACUAGGCCUGGAGGAGUACAGCAGAUUGAAAGCAUUGCCCAUUCUCUCUUCUACAGUAAUACAGAGAUGAAGCUGAUUCACCAGGACUCACAGAAAUGUACCGAUUCAACUUGGCAAAAGACAUGAACACAAGAAACUUUUCCACUAAACUUAAAAUUCGCCACUGACUUGAAUAGCCUCAUAGAACUAUUUGCCAGUAGAAGGCUGGUUGUCCUGCUUCAUGUCAGCAAGACAGCUGGACUCUCACACAUGACCACUGAGUUUGCUUACAUCGAAACUGUUGUAUCAUUCAAAGUAUCUACUGGACAUGAUUAUUCCAUUCAAAUGGAUUACAAGCUUCGAGUAGAAGACAGACUUACUCCUCAUGAUUUUUUCCAGAAUGCUCCUAUUGUCAAGGAAGUCUACACCAGCUGUUAACCAUUCAACUCUAUGAGCAGAGAUUAAAUUUUUUCAAUAUCUGUUCUUAUCGUUGACAUCAGUUGUUUUUGAUUGACCAACACCUAUUCCAUCUCUUUAUAAAUAAAAACAACUCCCUGAUGCUUCUUGGAACCACCUCUCUCUUUUUCAAUUCAUGUGGUUCAGUCUGACCUAACCUUAGGUUUCAUGGGUGGACAUGUAAUUCAAACCUGAUCAGUCAGCAAAAUCCAUCUCCUUGACCAUAGUGAUUGGUUCAGGAAUGAUCAUGUGAUUCAAGUUGGUCCAGUGAUUACUUAAUCCUGAGAGUUUUAGUGAACUGUGUAGGAGAAGCUCAGAGGCUGUUUACUGAGGUUGCUUAGCUCUGUAGGAUGAAAAGCUCAAACCAACAGGGCCUACCAUAUCAAAUAAGCCAGUCAGAGAAUGAAGCCAGUGCAGAGGAAGGCGGAGCCAAAUGAUGGAGAGACUUAAGUUCUGAUGAUAAUUUUUUGUGCCCCUGGAUCCAACCGUGCCUGAAGCUAGAAUAUCCCCUGGACUUUUCAGUUAUGUAAACCAAUAAAGACCCUUUUUUGCUUAAGUUA